CAGAGGGUAGUUUAAUUUAGAAUC
rnacentral:tRNA from 2 species